rnacentral:tRNA from 1 species
CUUUGGUGCUAUAGGCAGCACAUCAGUUUUGGAAGCUGAAGGUCCUGAGUUCAAUCCUCAUAAG